rnacentral:rRNA from 1 species
UGCCAGCCGCCGCGGUAAUACGAAGGUCCCAAGCGUUGUUCGGAAUCACUGGGCGUAAAGCGUGUGUAGGCUGCGCGGAAAGUCAAAUGUGAAAGCCCGGGGCUCAACCUCGGAACUGCAUUCGAUACUCCCGUGCUAGAGUAAUGGAGAGGUAAGUGGAACUCCUGGUGUAGCAGUGACAGGCGUGGAUAUCAGGAGGAACACCAAUUGCGAAGGCAGUUCACUGGACCGUGAUCGACGCUGAGUAGCUAACGCUAGGGGCGAAAACAGGCUUCGAUC